rnacentral:rRNA from 1 species
CUAAAAACCCCCCUUUUUUCAAAAUUUAAGACCUCAAAUCAGGUGGGACUACCCGCUGAACUUAAGCAUAUC